rnacentral:lncRNA from 1 species
UGUUUGUUCUCCCCCACCCCCCACCCUCCACGUUGUACUGAACUUUGCUACAAAGUCACUUUAGGAAAACUCCCAGUAUGCACGAAACAAGCGUGGGUCUUUCAGUGGCCUCAGAGUUUUUAUUUCUCCAGGGCUAAGGUAACCUGGAUAGGAGAGCGAAGGAUGGAGAUAGAAAGGGGAGGUGAUAUUUUCAAGAAACACCCAACUGGCCCUUUACCUUUUUUGCCUCCGUUAUGGGGAAGGGGGGUGAGAGAAAAAGAUGUCAAUGACCAUUGUUUGCUCGUUGGGGAUAUUGCUCCGCCCCCCGAGUCUGUCGUAAACCUGGCGCUGGACUAAAAUAAACCCAAGAUCCCGCAGCUCGGGGGCUCGCCGCGCCGCGGACAGCUCUCCACUGGCGCUGCCGCCGGGCCGAAGUGGCGGCGACCAGCGGCCG